UACAGGGGGGGCAAGCGUUGUUCGGAAUUACUGGGCGUAAAGGGCUCGUAGGCGGCCAACUAAGUCCGACGUGAAAUCCCCAAGCUUAACUUGGGAACUGCGUCGGAUACUGGAUGGCUUGAAUUCGGGAGAGGGAUGCAGAAUUCCAGGUGUAGCGGUGAAAUGCGUAGAUAUUGGGAGGAACACCAGUGGCGAAGGCGGCUCACUGGACUGGUACUGACGCUGAGGCGCGAAAGCGUGGGGAGCAAACAGG
rnacentral:rRNA from 1 species